AGAGUUUGAUCAUGGCUCAGAAUCAACGCUGGCGGCGUGCCUCAGACAUGCAAGUCGAACGCGAAAGUCCCUUUCGGGGGACAAGUAGAGUGGCGCACGGGUGAGUAACACGUAGGUAAUCUACCUUUGGAUGGGGAAUAACAACCGGAAACGGUUGCUAAUACCGCAUAAUGCAGCGGCACCUAAUGGUGACAGUUGUUAAAGCGGGGGAUCGUAAGACCUCGCGUCUAAAGAGGAGCCUGCGGCAGAUUAGCUAGUUGGUAAGGUAAUGGCUUACCAAGGCGAUGAUCUGUAGCCGGCCUGAGAGGGCGGUCGGCCACACUGACACUGACAUACGGGUCAGACUCCUACGGGAGGCAGCAGUCGGGAAUUUUGGGCAAUGGGCGAAAGCCUGACCCAGCAACGCCGCGUGAAGGAUGAAAUCCUUCGGGAUGUAAACUUCGCAAGAACGGGAAGAAUAAGUAAGAGCUAACAUCUCUUAUGAUGACGGUACUGUUUGUAAGCUCCGGCUAACUCCGUGCCAGCAGCGGCGGUAAUAC
rnacentral:rRNA from 1 species